GAUCAUCAUAGCUGGGAGGUUCAGGGGAAUGCCCUGAAUAACGUGCUCCAUAAUGACCAAAUCUCGCUCAGAUAUGUGAUCAAAUCUCCCACUCUUAGGAAACAAAAUCCGACCUAUGAAGUUGUGCAACAACCUCAUCUCAGCUGAUAGAGAGCUAGCUAUCACAGUUUCGGAGUAAUCAAAAUCAUCUCUCUCAAAGAUCAACUGUAGAGCUCUUAACUUGCUUUCCGGUC
rnacentral:lncRNA from 1 species